GCUGGCCUCGAACUCAGAAAUCUGCCUGCCUCUGCCUCCCCAGUGCUGGGAUUAAAGGCGUGUGCCACCACCGCCCGUCGGAAUGGGUAUUUCUAAAUGACUCUUUUGACUUCCUCCCGUGAGUUGUGUAUGGGCUUGUUAUUUUUUUUUUUUUUUGAUGUGUUUGUCAUUCUCAGGAACUUUUGGUGUCUCAUUUCAUCUGAGGCUCACUACCUAGGUAGGUGCGGGCUAGUCAGUGAGCCCCUCUCUACCGAGUUUCCAUGUUUUCAGAGCUGUGAUGACAAAUAUGCGUCAUACCUGCUUCUUAAACAGAUUCUGAACCCACAUAAGCACAAGCACUUUGGUUUCCACACAGAAUGUUACCAUGCGGCCUGGGCUAGCCUUAUACUUGCAGUGAUGAGCCUCCUGCCUCUGUCUCCCAAGUGCUACAAUUACAGAUUUGUGUCACUGUGCCUGGCUUCCUCCUGAGGAAACAUUGGACUUGUAGAUAUUUCUAGUUUUAUGUGGUCAGUCUUGGUGUAUGCCAUUUUUCUCAAUGCAUUUGAGCUCAUUUUGAGGUUGAGUCACAGUUUCUUUCCUGGGCAUCUCUCUCACAUGGGCUUCUGUUGUCUGCAGGGUUUGUAUUUGCACCUUUGUGCUUUUUAUGACUUUGUACAGGAUUUAAUGGACUUUAACUUCUCUCUUAUCAAUGAAUUCUUGUUCUUCUGAAGAAUAAAGAUUGAGGGCAUUUGCCUCUGGGUCUGCCUUUACCUGAACUAUCUUAUUCAUUGUGGGUUUCUUCUUGUCUAAUUUAUUGAUUGUUUCUCGAGAUAGGGUUUCUCUGUAGAACAGCACUGGCUCUUCUGGAACUGCCUCUGCCUCUGAGUGCUGGGAUUAAAGGCUGUCUUUGUCUUUUUGAGACAGGCUACCCCACACUCUGCGUGUUCUCCAGAAUGACUCCUGAUCCCUUUGCUCCACUGCCUGUCACCACACCCAGUUGGUUUAAAAUCUCAGAUGACCCCCCCCCCCAGAGGCUUAUAUAUUCUGAAGGCUUGGCUGCCAGUGUGGAUCUUUAGGAGGGUGGCAUGCCCACAAUGGAAUUUUGGGGCCUGGCCCUUUUCUCUCUCAUCUUUGCGUCCUAGGUACCAGAGCCAUCAUCCUUGGCCAUCGAAUGUGCUGCCACAGAACUAAGAUGAUGGAGCCAAGUGACUUGUAAAUUUGCUUUAUCAGAUGUGUUUAUGUCAAUUUUGUUUUUCCAUCCCUACUCAUGCAUUCAUAUCGCUAAAUUUACUUUAAUAAAAUUCGAGUUCUGAGCCUACCAUGGGCCCAGGACUUGUCCGCAGUAGAGUGGUGUCUGCAUACUAGCUGACUCAUGGCAUGUCACAUGGAUUGGGGAGGAAGGACCAGGAGCGUUACGGAUUGAUAGUGACUGUAGCCUUUUUGGGCUGAUAGGCUGGAUCUUACCUGGUGGCUUCAUGGGAACUUCAUGCUUAUACUGACCACUUGAUGUGUGAGAAAGGAGGGUUAUCCACCCCCCACCCCCACUCCACCCCGCAGCUUCCCCUCUCCCACUGUCCCGAGGCAUGAUGGGGAUUCCAAUUGAGCACAUUAUGUUUCAAGUCUAGAACUUUCUCCAAGGGAAGGGUUUUGAUGCUAUUUUUCUCAGAACCUAAAUUAACUUGCUGCUACAUGUGCCUUUUCUUAUUUAGAGAGAAAGGUGUCCUGCAUCGUUUGCUUUAGUUCAGUCAUAGAUCUUACUAUACAUGUUGAUACAAUUUUCCAAGUUCAUAAGAUAGGCUGAUGGUUUUUUUCCAUGCUGUAUCAUACCUAGUUUCUCUUGUUUAUUUCAGUGGGCUUCAGAGGGAUUUACACCAGCAAGCAUUCUAAUAAGGCAAUCUGAACCUUACUUUGAGAAUGUAUACUCUUUUAAAAAAAUUAUUUCAAGUGAAUUGGUGUUUCACCUACAUACAUAUCUGUGUGAGGGUGUUGAUCCUCUGGAAUGGACAGUUUUGGAUUUCCAUGUGGGUGUUGGGAUUUGAACCCAGGUCCUCUGGAAGAGCAGCCCAAUGCUCUGUGCCACUUGGUGCUCUCCAGCCCCAAGAAUGUAUAUUUUUGCGUCCUUUGUAGGGUCUGUUUAAGAUGCAGAGCCUCAAUAAUAUAAGCCCAGAGCAAGUAUGGGGAACAAGAUAGGGUUUCGUAAACAAGGAGAGGAAAGACUGGCAAACAAUUGCUUAGUGACAAAGGGGGUCCGAUGGAAGUUAGAAAUUGGGAAAUUAUGGUAGCAUUUUUCAUUGUGGUGUGGGAUGUGUCUGUAAUAACAGGCAUAGGUUCCAAAGACUCUGGCCAUUUGGAAGGACAAAGGCCUGGAUCUGGCCAGUAUGUUUGUGUCUGUCUCUUUUUGUCUGUUGUGAGAGGAAGUGUGAAUGGAUCAGGCGUGAAGGGGGGAAAGCAGCAGUUGUUAGGGUUGUUAAAAAUGUAGUGAGAAGUCGUCUCCUGGAAUCUGUGAGCCAGAUGGAGCCAGAUGUUAGAGGUGUGCUGCUUUGAUGCAGUCAGACUUGUGUGUGUAGGCAUAGGUGAGCAGCUAGCAGAGGCCCUUGCCUCUUACCUGUAUAGGUGAUAUGGUAACAGUAUGUUAAGAAACGUCUCGGUAUUACUCAUCGCACAACAAUGAGACAAAGCCAAGUAGUAAGCAGUGUUUAUUUUUUGAAAAUUAUUUUAAAAAAUUGUUUACAGAGAUGUGGAUUUACAUAACUUGGCAACGUUUUUUAAAUGUACAGGCCAUUUCAUAUUAUUGCACUUACUCUUUUAAUAUAUAAGGCAUUUUUUUACAUAAAUAAAGAAUAAUGUAUAAUGUACAGGUGCGGUGCCAACUAAAGUCAACCCUACAAUGCAAUGUGGUAUGUGCGGGUGGGUGGGAAUGAGCCUUCACGGAAUUGUCUUACAACUACGGUUUGUAUGUUAGAACACAGCUUACGUCAUAGCUUACUGUGAAUGACUGACCACUU
rnacentral:lncRNA from 1 species